rnacentral:lncRNA from 1 species
UCUUGCCAUCUUCUUAGUUGGUUCACCAUAGAAAGAACUCGGGAGAAAUAGUCUGUAGUAGUUUUGGACUCUUUCAUCUGCUGCUUCAAAUUUGGCUCAAAAUAUUUGGAGCCAAUCUAUUUUAAUCUUUUUAAUGCCUUUAUAAGCUUUCUCAAGGAUCUUUCAAGCUUGUUUGGAUGUAGUGCACCUGCAAUCUUCUCAAAAUUUGCUUCAUCUAAGGCUUGA